rnacentral:rRNA from 1 species
GAUGAACGCUAGCUACAGGCUUAACACAUGCAAGUCGAGGGGUAGCAUGUUGGUUGCUUGCAACCGAUGAUGACGACCGGCGCACGGGUGAGUAACGCGUAUCCAACUUGGCUUAUACUUAGGGAUAACCCGUUGAAAGACGGCCUAAUACCUAAUGGUUUAUAAUAGUUGCAUGACUUUUAUAAUAAAGAUUUAUCGGUAUAAGAUAGGGAUGCGUCUGAUUAGUUAGUUGGUGAGGUAACGGCUCACCAAGGCAUCGAUCAGUAGGGGUUCUGAGAGGAAGGUCCCCCACAUUGGAACUGAGACACGGUCCAAACUCCUACGGGAGGCAGCAGUGAGGAAUAUUGGUCAAUGGACGUAAGUCUGAACCAGCCAAGUAGCGUGCAGGAUGACGGCCCUAUGGGUUGUAAACUGCUUUUAUGUGAGAAUAAAGUUAACUACGUGUAGUUAUUUGCAUGUAUCACAUGAAUAAGGACCGGCUAAUUCCGUGCCAGCAGCCGCGGUAAUACGGAAGGUCCAGGCGUUAUCCGGAUUUAUUGGGUUUAAAGGGAGCGUAGGCCGUUUGGUAAGCGUGCUGUGAAAUUUAGAGGCUCAACCUCUACCGUGCAGCGCGAACUGUCAGACUUGAGUGCGUAGUAGGUAGGCGGAAUUCGUGGUGUAGCGGUGAAAUGCUUAGAUAUCACGAAGAACUCCGAUUGCGAAGGCAGCUUACCGUAUCGCAACUGACGCUGAUGCUCGAAGGUGCGGGUAUCGAACAGGAUUAGAUACCCUGGUAGUCCGCACAGUAAACGAUGGAUGCUCGCUGUUGGCUUUUAUAGUCAGUGGCUUAGCGAAAGCGUUAAGCAUCCCACCUGGGGAGUACGCCGGCAACGGUGAAACUCAAAGGAAUUGACGGGGGCCCGCACAAGCGGAGGAACAUGUGGUUUAAUUCGAUGAUACGCGAGGAACCUUACCCGGGCUUGAACUGCAGGAGAACGAUUCAGAGAUGAUGAGGUCCUUCGGGACUCCUGUGGAGGUGCUGCAUGGUUGUCGUCAGCUCGUGCCGUGAGGUGUCGGCUUAAGUGCCAUAACGAGCGCAACCCCUUUUCUUAGUUGCCAUCGGGUGAUGCCGGGCACUCUGAGGAUACUGCCACCGUAAGGUGUGAGGAAGGUGGGGAUGACGUCAAAUCAGCACGGCCCUUACGUCCGGGGCUACACACGUGUUACAAUGGGGCAUACAGAGUGUUGGUUGCAUGUAAAUGUAAUCUAAUCUUUAAAGUGCUUCUCAGUUCGGACUGGGGUCUGCAACCCGACCCCACGAAGCUGGAUUCGCUAGUAAUCGCGCAUCAGCCAUGGCGCGGUGAAUACGUUCCCGGGCCU